AGCCACAGCCAUAUCACCCUGCAUCCCAAGACUGGUUACUCACUGAAGCUAAGCAGUACUGAGCCUGGUAAGUACCUGGAUGGAAGACCACAUAAGAAAACUAGGUUGCUGUUGAAA
ensembl:rRNA 5S_rRNA 5S ribosomal RNA